rnacentral:rRNA from 1 species
GAUGAACGCUAGCGGCAGGCCUAAUACAUGCAAGACGAACGGUAAGUUGAGUAGCAAUACUUAGCCAAGAGUGUCGUACGGGUGCGUAACACGUAUGCAACCUACCCUAUACAGGAGGAUAGCCUAGGGAAACCUGGAUUAACCCUUCAUAGUAUUAUUGGAUGGCAUCAUUUGAUAAUUAAAACUGAGGUGGUAUAGGAUGGGCAUGCGUCUGAUUAGUUAGUUGGCGGGGUAAUGGCCCACCAAGACGAUGAUCAGUAGGGGUUCUGAGAGGAAGAUCCCCCCACACUGGCACUGAGAUACGGGCCAGACUCCUACGGGAGGCAGCAGUAGGGAAUAUUGGUCAAUGGAUGCAAGUCUGAACCAGCCAUGCCGCGUGCAGGAAGAAGGCCUUCUGGGUUGUAAACUGCUUUUGCCAGGGGAUAAAUUUCCAUGCGUGGAAAACUGAAGGUACCUGGUGAAUAAGCCACGGCUAACUACGUGCCAGCAGCCGCGGUAAU